rnacentral:rRNA from 1 species
CUUGGUCAUUUAGAGGAAGUAAAAGUCGUAACAAGGUUUCCGUAGGUGAACCUGCGGAAGGAUCAUUAAUGAGAACUUGCCCUUUGGGGUAGAUCUCCCACCCUUUGUGAACCAUUCCUUUGUUGCUUUGGCAGGCCCGUCUCCGGGCCGCCGGCUUCGGCUGGCCAGCGCCUGCCAGAGGAUUUUCAAAACCUUCUGUUAGUGUUGUCUGAGUAUAAAUCAAAUCGUUAAAACUUUCAACAACGGAUCUCUUGGUUCUGGCAUCGAUGAAGAACGCAGCGAAAUGCGAUAAGUAAUGUGAAUUGCAGAAUUCAGUGAAUCAUCGAAUCUUUGAACGCACAUUGCGCCCCUUGGUAUUCCGAGGGGCAUGCCUGUUCGAGCGUCAUUUUGACCACUCCCGCUUGCGGGGUCUUGGGCCUUCGCCUCUGGGCGGGCCUUAAAAUCAGUGGCGGUGCCGUCCGGCUCUAAGCGUAGUAAAUCUCCUCGCUAUAGGGUUCCGGAGGGAUGCUGGCCAACAACCCCCAACUUUUAAGGUUGACCUCGGAUCAGGUAGGGAUACCCACUAAACUUAAGCAUAUCAAUAAGCGGAGG